rnacentral:lncRNA from 1 species
CCGUGAUUUUGUCGAACUUCACUUAUAUCCUUUGGUUAGAGAAUUCAGCUCACAUGUGCUUCACUUAUAUCUUUUGAGCUAGUUGAUUUUGCUCUAUGUGCUUCACUUAUAUCUUUUAGAGCACGGCGGCGCGUGGCUUGGUAGUUGAUCUAUGCUAUGAAAGUAGUCUCAAAAAGGGUAGUUCUCCAAAGGGAUAUGAAAACUUUCACCUUCAUGUGCAUUGAAUAGUUAGAGAAGUUUGAUUCCUCUCAAUUACUUUUGAGAUGUGGUUGUGGUAAUAUUUAAGUUAUGUUAGUAUGGUGUUGUGGAUCUAGAAAUACUUGUGUUAAAGUUAGUGAUUCCCGCAGCAUGCACGUAUGGUGAACCGCUAUGUGAUGAAGUUUGAGCAUGA